CAGCAGCCGCGGUAAUACGAAGGGUGCAAGCGUUAAUCGGAAUUACUGGGCGUAAAGCGUGCGUAGGCGGUUUGUUAAGUCUGUUGUGAAAUCCCCGGGCUCAACCUGGGAAUGGCAAUGGAUACUGGCAAGCUAGAGUGUGUCAGAGGAUGGUGGAAUUCCCGGUGUAGCGGUGAAAUGCGUAGAGAUCGGGAGGAACAUCAGUGGCGAAGGCGGCCAUCUGGGACAACACUGACGCUGAGGCACGAAAGCGUGGGGAGCAAACAGGAUUAGAUACCCCGGUAGUCCCUGUCUCUUAUAC
rnacentral:rRNA from 1 species